CUGAAAUUCGCCUUCCAUGAAGCUGGAAUUGCUAGUAAUGGCAGGUCAGCAUACUGCCGUGAAUACGUUCCCGGGCCCUUGUACACACCGCCCGUCCACACCAUGAGAGUUGGGAAUACCCGAAGCCUGUGAGCUAACUUAUAGAGGCAGCAGUCGAAGGUAGAAUCAAUGAUUGGGGUGAAGUCGUAACAAGGUAAC
rnacentral:rRNA from 1 species